rnacentral:lncRNA from 8 species
AUGCCUCGCUGUAUGUCUCUCUCAAAUGUCAAUAUGCCUUGUAUACUGUUGCUUAGGUUAGUUAUUGUUUUAGUUUACAAUGGAGCCCCUAGUUCCACUCAUGAUACCUCUGUUACCUCCUUUGUCCCACCUCCCACACAUGCGAUGACCUCACCCAUUAUAAUCAGCAUGUCCAGAGAUACAACCUCUCUUAUCAUCACUCAGUGCCUGGGCUUACCUCCGCUGUACCCGCACCCCACCAUACCCCUGUCUGCACAUUAUGCCCUGAAUCUAUUCUACCACGCCCAGAAAUCCGCUCCUUUUAUUCUUUGUCCCCAACGCUCUAGGCGACCAGUUUUGAUAGCCUUUAGCCGUACCCUCAUCCUACUCCUCCUCUGUUCCUCGGGUGAUGUGGAGGUAAACCCAGGCCCUGCAUGUCCCCAGGCACCCUCAUUUGUUGACUUCUGUGAUCAAAAAAGCCUUGGUUUCAUGCAUGUCAACAUCAGAAGCGUCCUCCCUAAGUUUGUUUUACUCACUGCUUUAGCACACUCCGUCAACCCUGAUGUCCUUGCCGUGUCUGAAUCCUGGCUUAGGAAGGCCACCAAAAAUUCGGAGAUUUCCAUACCCAACUACAACAUUUUUUGUCAAGAUAGAACUGCCAAAGGGGGAGGAGUUAGCCAGCAAAGUUCAGUCAUACUGUCCAGGUCUAUACCCAAACAGUUCGAACUUCUAAUUUUAAAAAUGUAUCUCCCCAGAAAUAAGUCUCUCACUGUUGCCGCCUGCUAUCGACCCCCCUCCGCUCCCAGCUGUGCCCUGGACACCAUUUGUGAAUUGAUCGCCCCCCAUCUAGCCUCAGAGUUCGUUCUGUUAGGUGACCUAAACUGGGAUAUGCUUAACACCCUGGCAGUCCUACAAUUUAAGCUAGAUGCCCUCAAUCUCACACAAAUCAUCAAGGAACCCACCAGGUACCACCCCAAAUCCGUAAACAUGGGCACCCUCAUAGACGUUAUCCUGACCAACUUGCCCUCCAAAUACGCCUCCGCUGUUUUCAAUCAGGAUCUCAGCAAUCACUGCCUCAUUGCCUGUAUCCGCUAUGGGUCCGUGGUCAAACGACCACCCCUCAUCACUGUCAAACGCUCCCUAAAACACUUCUGCGAGCAGGCCUUUCUAAUCGACCUGGCCCGGAUAUCCUGGAAGGAUAUUGACCUCAUCCCGUCAGUCGAGGAUGCCUGGUCAUUCUUUAAAAGUAUUUUCCUCACCAUCUUAGAUAAGCAUGCCCCGUUCAAAAAAUGCAGAACUAACAACAGAUAUAGCCCUUGGUUCACUCCAGACCUGACUGCCCUUGACCAGCACCAAAACAUCCUGUGGCGGACUGCAAUAGCAUCGAAUAGUCCCCGUGAUAUGCAACUGUUCAGGGAAGUCAGGAACCAAUACACGCAGUCAGUCAGGAAAGCAAAGGCUAACUUUUUCAAGCAGAAAUUUGCAUCCUGUAGCUCUAACUCCAAAAAGUUUUGGGACACUGUAAAGUCCAUGGAGAACAAGAGCACCUCCUCCCAGCUGCCCACUGCACUGAGGCUAGGUAACACGGUCACCACCGAUAAAUCCAUGAUAAUCGAAAAUUUCAAUAAGCAUUUCUCUACGGCUGGCCAUGCUUUCCUCCUGGCUACUCCAACCCCGGCCAACAGCUCCGCCCCCCCUGCAGCUACUCGCCCAAGCCUCCCCAGCUUCUCCUUCACCCAAAUCCAGAUGGCAGAUGUUCUGAAAGAGCUGCAAAACCUGGACCCGUACAAAUCAGCUGGGUUAGACAAUCUGGACCCUCUCUUUCUAAAACUAUCCGCUGCCAUUGUUUCAACCCCUAUUACCAGUCUGUUCAACCUCUCUUUCGUAUUAGAGGUCGACCGAUUAUGA